rnacentral:tRNA from 2 species
GGAGAGGUGUCCGAGUGGUUUAAGGAACCGGUCUUGAAAACCGGCGUGGGUGCAAGCCCACCGUGGGUUCGAAUCCCACCCUCUCCGCCA